UACGUAGGGUGCAAGCGUUGUCCGGAAUUAUUGGGCGUAAAGAGCUCGUAGGCGGUCUGUCGCGUCGGCUGUGAAAACCUGGGGCUUAACUCCGGGCCUGCAGCCGAUACGGGCAGACUAGAGUUCGGCAGGGGAGACUGGAAUUCCUGGUGUAGCGGUGAAAUGCGCAGAUAUCAGGAGGAACACCGGUGGCGAAGGCGGGUCUCUGGACAGUUCCUGACGCUGAGGCACGAAGGUCAGGGGAGCAAACGGG
rnacentral:rRNA from 1 species